rnacentral:rRNA from 1 species
UAGCGUAAUCACUUGUUCUUUAAUUGAGGACUAGUAUGAACGGCCCCACGAGGACUACACUGUCUCCUUUUUCUAAUCAAUGAAACUGAUCUCCUCGUGAAGAAGCGAGAAUAAAUAUAUAAGACGAGAAGACCCUAUGGAGCUUUAAACAACCGGGAUACUUGCUAAUUAUUAACCUAUUUCCUGAAAACUAAACAAAUUAAAGCAUCUUACCCCCUAGUUUUAGGUUGGGGUGACCACGGAGAAAAAAUUAUCCUCCACGCUGUAAGAAGCCUCCCAUCUUCUAAGCUAAGAGUUACAUCUCUAAGCAUCAACACAUUGACUCCCAUUGACCCAAUAAUUUGAUCAACGAACCAAGUUACCCUAGGGAUAACAGCGCAAUCUACUUUAAGAGCUCAUAUCGACAAGUAGGUUUACGACCUCGAUGUU